ACAUCUUCCUGUUAAAGUUGUCCCUUAGGAAGAAGGACCAGAACCUGAACAGAGUGUUCAUCUCCUGAGACUGGCCAACUCCCAAACGUUUCCUCUCUGGAAAAAAAAAACGAUCCAACCUUAAUGUUUACAGUGGAGAGAGGGAAGCUGACCUGUCCAUCAAUGGUGCCACUCUCCUUCAUGACCGGGUAGAAGCGCGGCGUCUUGUUGGGAUCCUGCCGUCCAGGGGUGCGAGGUGUUCUGGGGGUUCGGGGCUCGUGAGCGAUGGGUGACUCUGCGACCGUUGUAGGCAGAGAAUGGGCCAGUUCUACUCUACUGUCCACUAAGAUUUAAAACACAACAAACAUUAAAUUUAUUAUCUCUUAUUACUUUUCCAUUACUCUGAUUAUAUAAAACAAGCUUGGUCAACAGAAUGCUCUAUUUGAAUAAAACCAACAAACUCACCUGGCAUUGGAGGAUUAGGGACUUCCUGGUUCGGGUCAAUGGGCACUUUAGGGGCAAGUGUGUCAAACUCAUCUUUACUGAUGACACUCAGCUUCUUGAAGUUUUCCACUUCCUGCUGGAGUAGCAAAGAAACAAGAGUUUUAAAACUAUUUGGGAACUAUUGCACAUUUACGUUUAUUUCUAUGUUGUGUUACGUUGCUACACUUAUGAAAAUAUAGAAGCUUGAGCUGAACUCCAAGCAAACACUACUUCACUGCUUCAUCUCAUUUUUAUGAAGAAACUAAACUAUAGUAGAACAAACACCACACUGCCCUGUUGCAUGACCACGUAGAUAAAAACACACAAUCUGACCGUUCAGGCUGUAUAAAGUGAUGAGUGUGCAACACAGCGGUAAACAUACUAGAUAUGCCAGCGCGUAGGCCUGUGUGACACACAGCAGAUGUGCAGCGUACUUUGAACAUUACACGUCAGCGUCAGGUACAGGAAUGAAAAAAAAAAAACAAAAAAAAAACACCAUGAUGAUGCCGUGUGUGCCCAGGCAAGACAUUUCCAAAUUUCCCACCUUUGGGGACAUGACUGACCACCUUUGACCACAGAAUGAGCUGACCACGCUGAAAACCACCAAGAGGAGACACAAUUGGCAGCUCUGCAAUUUUUAGCUUGUACAGAGUAAAUAGAAGUUUAAUCAAUAGCGUAGUUACGAAGCGCAAAAUUCAAUAUUUUCCUUCCAAGACGCCAAACUCUGUUUACAAAUGCAGAACAAAAAAAUAACCAAUCAGGAGUAUUUAUUGCUUUGUUAUGCAUCGUGUUAUUUGAUAAGUACGAAUCAGGCACCACACGCUGAAACACAGAAACUCUCUGGUUUUGACUGUUGCUGCUAUAAAACCCAUUGGUUAAUAAUAAGGCAAGUCAUUCCAAAAUACUCACUUCCUGUUAUUGAAAGGAAACACAGCCAAGGUCAAAGCAGAAAGGUUUAAUGAAUUUUACUUGCUGGAGCCUACAGUUAAAACAACAGCCCUUUAUUAAGCAACACAACUCUCCACAGCAAAAACUUAAACUGAAACCUCUGUACUGCUCUGAACUGGAUUCACAUCAGUCUCUCGUGUGCAUUCUUCCCUGAGGCCUGCAGUUCUGUUUGUGUUACACAGUUUUAAAAUGUUUAUCCAUAUUACUGUAUGUUCAAGCUGUUGUAAGUUUCACUAGCAUGCAAAAACAACAACUGGCCAACUGUAGCACCAUCAAAUAGUGUCUGCAUGUUCUUCUGUGCCCAGUUCAAAUCAAUCUUUCUUUUCUUUGCCAUGGAAAUCAGGUUAAAAUUGUAAUGACGUAAACCCUCAAACCAUUUCUUUGAGAUACACUUUGAAUCGGUUUCUUGUCUGUAGGUCAUGAAACCUGAUUAUCAUGUGGUAUUUUAGCUGACCCAUGUUCAGGCUUGACUUGACACACAUUAUGCAUGUAAAUUACUGCACUGGGUGUCGAUUUUCUGCCUCUCUGAUCUGCAGGAUGCCUGAUCCUGAACAUCUUUGGCUCCCUGAACUAAUGGGAUAUUUUUCUUUAUAUGUGCACAAAAUAUCAGAGCGAUAAACAGCAAAGAUCUUUAAGCAUGAACUCUGUAAACGCUACUCUACAUCAUCAUAUAUAAUUAAAUAUUAUUUUAUAUUACUAUUAUAAUAUAUAUUAUAUUAAAUUAGACUUUAUAUUAUUAUUAGAAAAUAUUGUAUGAUAUGAUGGUUGGUUGCCUUACCUUGCUAUACUCAAUUUGUUCCUCUCCCUUCCACAGGUCUUGUUCAUAGUAGUACAGCCCGUCGUUGAUGGCUUUGGCCAGAUCGGCGGUUAUCUUGGCUCGGGACUCGUGGUUGCCUGUCCGGUCGCCACCAGGGUGUUUACGGAGGUGAGGAGGGGUCUGGGUGACAAUAAGGAUCUUGUUGACAUCUUGGUCGUCCAACUCGUAGUCCGAGUCGUCCUCAUCUGACCAGACAGUGAACUUGUUCUUCUUUGGAGCCAUCUGCUCCAUUUCUUCAUCGAACAGGAAGUCCAGCUCCUCCUGGUCAGGCUCAGCUGGCAGAGGACUCUGGUAGGUGGGAGGUGGUGUCUUCCUGUCCCCCUGGAUGACACAGAAGAUAAGCAUAUUCAUCAUGUCGUAUGUAGGGGCCUGUCUGUGGCGUUUCUCCACCUGGAUCCACGCAUCUGGGUCAGGUUUAGGCGUGGGGGCAUCUUUAGGGGCGUCUGUGGCAGAGAGCGACUCCUGGCUGGAGGAGCCGACAUCAGCAGAGUCCUGCAGCUCAGCAGACAGAGGAGGAGUCUCCUUCACAGGCGAUGAAGCUGAAAGAGUCGACACAUCAGACACACACAGCCUUCAGCGCCAUUUCAUAAAAUCACACCGCUCAGCUCUCAUUUGGGUUAGGUGGUGAUAAAGUGCACUGCUGAAAACAUCUUCACUAACAGAAAUAUUAAAAGAAAUGUGGAAUAUGAGCUCUGAUUGUGAUUUUGAGUUUCUGGAUAAUCAAUAAGAAACAGAAGUUGUAGUCCUAGUGCAUUGUGACCUGGGCUCUGGUGGAACUGGGGCAUGUUUAUUUACACUGUAUGCUGUGACUGGAACAAAACAAAACUGCAGUGUCAGUAAUUUGCUUUUCCAAAUCAUUAAACUCGCCCACUCCUCGGCCAGAGACUUUGAGCUUUUUGGUAGCUGUGAGUUUUUUUUUUCUUUUUACUAAACUGAUGUGCUAAACAUACUGAAAUUGUCAAAUACCAUGAAUAUAUGCUAACUAUCAUGUGCUAUAGCGUUUCGUCACAUUUCUUUCAUCUUCAAACAUUCAGUUAAAGACUGACCAGAGUUUGUGGAACUGAGGGUUUGUCUUGGAACAAACUCAGGGCAGUUGAUGAGCUGGGUGAAGUCGGUCCGAGGGGAGCCCACGAUGGGAGGGACGGCGAUGGGCCAACGCUCUGGGUCAACUUUACAGCGAACCCUGUCGUCCACCAGCUCCACCUCUGUGCUGCUCUUCAGAGCCUGGAGACAUUUAUAAUAAAAAUAUUUUUUCUCAUA